rnacentral:tRNA from 1 species
GGCCGUAUAGUCUAAUGGUUAGGGCGUCUAACUCUUAUGACGGGCAUGCUUCCACAAAGGCGGAUCUCACACCAAUCCCGAUCGAACGACAAAUACGACAAAUACGACAAUCUGCUGGACUCGCGGUGUGUCCCUCUCCUUGAGUUAGAAGGUGUCAGUUCGACUCUGGUUGCGGCCU